CACGUAGGGGGCAAGCGUUGUCCGGAUUUAUUGGGCGUAAAGAGCUCGUAGGUGGCUGAGUAAGUCGGAUGUCAAAUCCCCAGGCUCAACCUGGGACACCACCCGAUACUGCUCUGGCUAGAGUCCGGUAGGGGAGCGUGGAAUUCCUGGUGUAGCGGUGAAAUGCGCAGAUAUCAGGAGGAACACCAGCGGCGAAGGCGGCGCUCUGGGCCGGUACUGACACUGAGGAGCGAAAGCGUGGGGAGCGAACAGG
rnacentral:rRNA from 1 species